AUUGAACGCUGGCGGCAUGCUUUACACAUGCAAGUCGAACGGCAGCACGGGUGCUUGCACCUGGUGGCGAGUGGCGAACGGGUGAGUAAUGCAUCGGAACGUGCCCGAUCGUGGGGGACAACGCAGCGAAAGCUGCGCUAAUACCGCAUACGAUCUGAGGAUGAAAGCGGGGGACCGUAAGGCCUCGCGCGAUCGGAGCGGCCGAUGUCAGAUUAGGUAGUUGGUGGGGUAAAGGCUCACCAAGCCGACGAUCUGUAGCUGGUCUGAGAGGACGACCAGCCACACUGGGACUGAGACACGGCCCAGACUCCUACGGGAGGCAGCAGUGGGGAAUUUUGGACAAUGGGCGAAAGCCUGAUCCAGCAAUGCCGCGUGCAGGAAGAAGGCCUUCGGGUUGUAAACUGCUUUUGUACGGAGCGAAAAGGCUCUCUCUAAUACAGGGGGCUCAUGACGGUACCGUAAGAAUAAGCACCGGCUAACUACGUGCCAGCCGCCGCGGUAA
rnacentral:rRNA from 1 species